rnacentral:SRP_RNA from 1 species
ACGUAAGCGCUCUCGCGAUACUAUCUUGUGAACUCGGUCAGGUCCGGAAGGAAGCAGCCGCAGCAAGCGACGUGUGCGCCGGGAUGUCGCGUGCGGGGCC